GAUGAAGAACGUAGCGAAUUGCGAUAAGUAAUGUGAAUUGCAGAAUUCAGUGAAUCAUCGAAUCUUUGAACGCACAUUGCGCCCCUUGGUAUUCCGAGGGGCAUGCCUGUUCGAGCGUCAUUAUAACCCCUCAAGCUCAGCUUGGUGUUGGGGCCUGCCGCACGGGCAGCCCUUAAAAUCAGUGGCGGUGCCAUCUGGCUCUAAGCGUAGUAAUUCUUCUCGCUAUAGAGUCCCGGUGGAUGCUUGCCAUUAACCCCCAAUUUUCUAUGGUUGACCUCGGAUCAGGUAGGGAUACCCGCUGAACUUAAGCAUAUCAAUAAGCGGAGGA
rnacentral:misc_RNA from 1 species